rnacentral:rRNA from 1 species
CGGGUGAGUAACGCGUGGGUAACCUGCCUCGUACAGGGGGAUAACAGUUAGAAAUGACUGCUAAUACCGCAUGAGCGCACAGUGCCGCAUGGCACAGUGUGAAAAACUCCGGUGGUAUGAGAUGGACCCGCGUCUGAUUAGCUAGUUGGUGGGGUAACGGCCUACCAAGGCGACGAUCAGUAGCCGGCCUGAGAGGGUGAACGGCCACAUUGGGACUGAGACACGGCCCAA